CUCAGGCUAUGAUUUUUCUCUCAUUGUUCUUCAUUUUCUCUUCUUCAUGGAAAAAUAAAAGUAGAUUCCAAUGGAGACUCUUGCAGGAAGAAGGUGAAACUUUCUCUUCCUUAAUCUCCACUUUCUCUUUAACGGUUUUCAUUCUUCUUUUUCUUAAACAAAAACAUGAAAAAAUGUUUGAGAGAUGCAAUACCAGGGAUAGAAGAAGAAUUAGCAAAAAAAGGUUUUUGAUAUCAAAUCAUGGAGUUGCGAUUGUAAGUUAAGGAGUCUUUUACUCAAUGGUUUUGUUCUAAAGUUGAUUAAUGAUAAUUUGGAUUAGAUUUUAUCCCUAAAGCAAAAAAUUGAGAAUUAGGGUUCUUAUAUGGAUUGUUCAUAAUUUGUUGGUUAACUUCAAGUCAUGUAAAAUUGUAUAUAUGAGUUCGUGUGCUUUAACCUAAAUCAUGUUUUGUCAUGAAUUUCUUCACAGGAUACUUGAUUUGAAAUAUUAUUUGUGGAUUAGGGCUAUUGGUUGUCAAUUUGGGUUUUUGGUGUAGCUCAUGAUAUUCUGAUAAUUGCUAUCAUUAUGCGUAGUUCAUACUAUCCAAAAAAAAAUGACGAACUACGGUCGUGCUUGAUCCUUCGAGCAACGGAGAGAGUACGUAGGCAGCUGCUAUGUGGUUCAGCACAACUCUGCAUGGUUGUUCAUAUCAUCUGAAAGUGUUGGUUGCUGUUUUGGCAGUUCAUACCAUCUAUUCGGAGAUGAUUGCAACCUUGACAACUGGCCAUGAAAUUCUUAGAAGUGGCAACUGGCCAUGGAAAUCUUAGAAGAAGUGGCAACUGGCCAUGGAAAUAUCGGAAGUGGCAACUGGUCAUGGAAAUAGUAGAAGUGGCAAUUGGCCAUGGAAAUCUCAGAAGUGGCAACUGCCCAUGGAAAUAUCGGAAGUAGCAACUGGCCAUGGAAUUCUUAGAAGUGGUCUAUCAUUUUUAUCAACUGGCCGUUUCUCAUUUUGAAAACUGGUUGUCUCCUAUAAUUGGAGAAUGAAUGUUUAUAAUGCAGUUUGGGUGUUUGAAAAAUUUGCAGGUCCGAUUUCUCAAGUGGAGUAUCAGAGAGUCGGAGUUUUCUUAGCGGGACGAAACCGGUGUGCUGGAAGUCCAGAUUUUCUGAUCCGUCACAAUUGGUAUCAGAGUAGUUCCGGUUCAAACAGGACUGUGCGUUUUGGAACUCACCAGUCUCCUGCUUGUGCGGUGACUACAUGUAUUACUCAUAACUUCCUGUUUAUUUUGAACUUCGGGACGAAGUUCUUUUUAAGGGGUUAAUGGUGUGAUAAUCCAAAUUUUUAGGUUGUGUUAAUCUUAUGUGCGUUCCUUUAUUUGUAGUGUGACAAUUUAGUUGUUCUUUUAAAAAAUAUCUAGGUGCUUGAAUCCAAGAUGAGGUCUUCCUUAAGCGAAAGUGUAGAUGCCUUCAUAGAUUGACAUGCAGCUAGACACCUCACCAUCUGUUUGGGACUCUUUUUGACCAGAAAGCUUUAAGAGAGAAAUAGAAGAAAAAAAAAACUCAGGCUAUGAUUUUUAUCUCAUUAUUCUUCAUUUUCUCUUCUUCAUGGAAAAAAUAAAAGUAGAUUCCAAUGGAGACUCUUGCAGGAAGAAGGUGAAACUUUCUCUUCCUUAAUCUCCACUUUCUCUUUAACGGUUUUCAUUCUUCUUUUUCUUAAACAAGAACAUGAACAAAAUGUUUGAGAGAUGGUAAUGCUAGGGAUAGAAGAAGAAUCAGCAAAAAAAAAAUUUUGAUAUCAAAUCAUGGAGUUGCGAUUGUAAGUUAAGGAGACUUUUACUCAAUGGUUUUGUUCUAAAGUUGAUUAACGAUAAUUUGGAUUUGAUUUUAUCCCUAAAGCAAAAAAUUGAGAAUUAGGGUUCUUAUAUGGAUUGUCCAUAAUUUGUUGGUUAACUUCAAGUCAUGUAAAAUUGUAUAUAUGGGAUCGUGUGGUUUAACCUAAAUCAUGUUUUGUCGUGAAUUUCUUCACAUGAUACUUGAUUUGAAAUACUAUUUGUGGAUUAGGGCUAUUGGUUGUCAAUUGGGGUUUUUGGUGUAACUCAUGAUAUUCUGGUAAAUUGCUGAUUUUGGUAUCAUCUUAUAAUUAUCAUGAAUUGUUUUAAUGCUGAUUUGAUGGUAGUAAUUCUUAGUAAUUUUCACGAACAAUGGUUCUUUGAAUAUCUUUGAUACAAUUUUGUAAAAUCCCUAAAAUGCAUGUGUUUAUUCUGACCAUAUCUUAAAUUUCAACCGUUGGAAUGUGAUGAUAUUUUAGUAUAUUGUUAUAUACUAUGUCAUAAUGAUACUUUAAAUUUUUGGGGCUGAUCAGACAAGGUUGAGAACCGAAAACCCUAGAGUAACUAGGAUUGCUUUUUGCUGAAUUCAUAACUAAGGACAGUAACUGUUUGUAGCGUUUUCCAUAUCUGUGUAUUGAACAAAGAUGAAACUUUGGUGAGUUGUUAAGAAAAGUACAGGUAAGACACUGUAAAAAUUUCAUGAAAAUCCGAUCAUUAUAGGUACCCAAAAGUAUGGGAGACUCGUGACUGGAUUUCAGUAUGUUGAUACAGAAAUCCAGUCACGUUGUGAUGUAAAUAUAUCUUUAAUGAACCGUUGGAAUAUUCUGAUUUUUGAAUAUCAUGUUGUUCCCUAAGUUGCAAGGCUACUGUAAGAAUUUUAACACGAUCGGGUAACAUUAGAUACUGAAAAUGUUGGAUCAACUGGGACUGCUGUAAUCAAGUUUAGUUGAAUUGGUUUGAAUUUUUGGGAAAAUGUGAUUAAGGUUAUUAUAAAACUUGUGGCCCUUCCCCAAAUAUUUUUAUAUGUAUAUUUUGCAUCUCAAUAUAUAUAUAUAUCUCGUGCUCUAACGACAUUUGAAUUAUGACUUUUGUAUACGAGCUUUUAUGUCGUAUUCCGCUUCAAGUAAUUUUUGAAGUACAAGAGGUAGUGAUUCAGUCCAUUAUGUGGGCUUAUGGAUGAGCUAAUAUCCACAUUCUUGACUCUGAUUGUUAAGUAUAUAUGCACAUACAUAUUCCUUCAUCAGUAAUGUGCCCCAGCUGUUAUUAAUAUACUUUUACCAUGUGUUUGCUUUUCUAGUAUCAAACAUAUAACAGGUUCACCAUUUGCUUGAUGGGAAUAGCUUUGCUACCCGACGAGUAGAUGAUACAGAAAACGGAAAUGUCAUUAUCACCUUAUCUCUUCAUUUCAAGUAAAGUAGUUCUACUAUGUUGUUGUUCAAUUCAAUAAUAUAUCUCAUCCAAUUAUCCUUUUAUUUUAUAUGGCAUUAGUUUUAGACCUUUAAGGUCGUGAUAUUUUGGUACUAGAUAUAUAAUGCUAGCUAUUAUAAGUCAGACAUUAAAUUACUGUCAUAUUUCAGUGAGAUACUCUAUUGAUGUGCAAGUUAGUUCACUUUAGCUAGGAAAGCUUACCCUUUUAUUUUGGGAAUUUAUAAAUGUUAGUUAGAUAAUACUUCUGAAAGUGAAAUACAGACUUAUGACUACUACUAUCAUAGAUUGAUCGGUUUCGCUAUCUCAUAAGAGUGUGUAGAUGGAUUUCGUAUUUAGAUACUUUUCUUGCUUGUUGUUAUUGUGCCUCAAGGUUCCACUUGAGUUUUGAAUGAUGAUGCUGCGAUGUGAGAUUAUUAUAAUGAUUGUGAGGUCAAGUGGUAAUCUCUUUGUUGUCUUAGAAGGCAUAUUAUGUCCAUGGUUUCACAAGACAACAUUUUCGUUUGUCAUUGAUGAAGCAUGAUAAAGUUUGAUUGAAAGUUUUAGCGAUAGCCAUGUGGUGACAGUAACAGCCGAACGAGAUUAUAAGUUUUUCAGUGGUCAAUGUUCAUGUAUUUUCUGUUUGUAUCUUGAUAGUAAGAAUUACUCGGCCUAUUUUAGGGACUUCGGGAUCAGGUAUAAGUCCCCUAACCUAUUUAGGAAUUAUACAACCUACGUGUGAAAGUCUUUUUGUUAUUCGUGGUGUACGCAUAUCUGGUUGAUUUACUUUGAGUAAGUAGUAUAAAAAUCCCAUGUGACUUGUUAAUUUGGUAUGGACUAUAUUAUCACUGUUUCAAUUGUUUCUAAAUGUUCUUUCCUACAUAAAUAAGAUGGAUGAAUGACAUUGGGAAUCUUUGAUUUAGUCAGUGUAGUACUUUACUCGUAAUUCAUUAUGAAUACUGCAAGUGGAAUAAGUUUACUUGAUGUUUGAUAAGAGAUAGCUGUAACCAUUAUGUGUAGUUCAUACUAUCCAAAACAAAAAAUGACGAACUACGGUUGUGCUUGAUCCCUUCGAGCAAAGGAGAGGGUGCGUAGGCAGCCGAUAUGCGGUUCAACACAACUCUGCAUGGUUGUUCAUAUCGGAAAGUGUUGGUCGUUGUUUUGGCAGUUCAUACCAUCUAUUCGGAGAUGAUUGCAACCUUGACAAUGGCAACUGGCCAUGGAAAUCUUAGAAGCAGUGGCAACUGGCCAUGGAAAUAUUGGAAGUGGCAACUGGCCAUGAAAUUCUUAGAAGUGGCAACUGGCCAUGGAAAUCUUGGAAGAAGUGGCAACUGGCCAUGGAAAUCCCAUAAGUGGCAACUGGCCAUGGAAAUCUCAGAAGUGGCAAUUGGCCAUGGAAAUAUCGAAAGUGGCAACUGGCCAUGGAAUUCUUAGAAGUGGCAAGUGGCCAUAUAAGUCUAUGAUUUUUGGCAAUUGGCCGUUUCUCAUUUUGACAACUGGUCGUCUCCCAUAAUUGGAGAAUGAAUGAUAAGUGUGCCUGCUUAUAAUGCAGUUUGGGUGUUUGAAAAA